rnacentral:rRNA from 1 species
CCUACGGGAGGCUGCAGUGGGGAAUAUUGCGCAAUGGGCGGAAGCCUGACGCAGCGACGCCGCGUGGGGGAUGACGGCCUUCGGGUUGUAAACCUCUUUCAGCAGGGACGAAGCGGAAGUGACGGUACCUGCAGAAGAAGCACCGGCCAACUACGUGCCAGCAGCCGCGGUAAUACGUAGGGUGCAAGCGUUGUCCGGAAUUAUUGGGCGUAAAGAGCUCGUAGGCGGUUUGUUGCGUCGGCUGUGAAAACCUGAGGCUCAACCUCAGGCCUGCAGUCGAUACGAGCAGACUAGAGUGUUGCAGGGGAGACUGGAAUUCCUGGUGUAGCGGUGAAAUGCGCAGAUAUCAGGAGGAACACCGGUGGCGAAGGCGGGUCUCUGGGCAACAACUGACGCUGAGGAGCGAAAGCGUGGGGAGCGAACAGGAUUAGAUACCCUUGUAGUC